CAUCAUGACCUCGUGUUUCUGUGGCUUUCUAGUUUUGUCUUUUUUUUUUUUUUUCUCAGUCCUUUAGACGCCCAGCUGCACAACUUGAUUGCCUUACAAAUGACCUGCUUCCAGGAUGCGGAAAUUCCUAGUUUCUUCUGUGACCCUUCUCAACUCCCCCAUCUUGCAUGUUGUGACACCUUCACCAAUAACAUAAUCAUGUAUUUGCCUGCUGCCAUAUUUGGUUUUCUUCCCAUCUCGGGGACCCUUUUCUCUUACUAUAAAAUUGUUUCCUCCAUUCUGAGGGUUUCAUCAUCACGUGGGAAGUAUAAGGCCUUCUCCACCUGUGGGUCUCACCUGUCAGUUGUUUGCUGAUUUUACGGAACAGGCUUUGGAGGGUACCUCAGUUCAGAUGUGUCAUCUUCCCCGAGAAAGGCUGCAGUGGCCUCAGUGAUGUACACGGUGAUCACCUCCAUGCUGAACCCCUUCAUCUACAGCCUGAGAAACAGGGAUAUUAAAGGUGUCCUGCGGCAG
rnacentral:lncRNA from 10 species